CCUACGGGGGGCAGCAGUAGGGAAUAUUGCUCAAUGGGGGAAACCCUGAAGCAGCAACGCCGCGUGGAGGAUGAAGGUUUUCGGAUUGUAAACUUCUUUUGUUAGAGAAGAUAAUGACGGUAUCUAACGAAUAAGCACCGGCUAAUUCCGUGCCAGCAGCCGCGGUAAUACGGAGGGUGCAAGCGUUACUCGGAAUCACUGGGCGUAAAGAGCGCGUAGGCGGGAUAGCAAGUCAGAUGUGAAAUCCUAUGGCUUAACCAUAGAACUGCAUUUGAAACUGUUAUUCUAGAGUAUGGGAGAGGUAGGUGGAAUUCGUGGUGUAGGGGUAAAAUGCGUAGAGAUCAAGAGGAAUACUCAUUGCGAAGGCGACCUGCUAGAACAUAACUGACGCUGAUGCGCGAAAGCGUGGGGAGCAAACAGGAUUAGAUACCCCAGUAGUC
rnacentral:rRNA from 1 species